GCCCUAAACGAUGUCAACUAGUUGUUGGGGAUUCAUUUCCUUAGUAACGUAGCUAACGCGUGAAGUUGACCGCCUGGGGAGUACGGUCGCAAGAUUAAAACUCAAAGGAAUUGACGGGGACCCGCACAAGCGGUGGAUGAUGUGGAUUAAUUCGAUGCAACGCGAAAAACCUUACCUACCCUUGACAUGGUCGGAAUCCUGCUGAGAGGUGGGAGUGCUCGAAAGAGAACCGAUACACAGGUGCUGCAUGGCUGUCGUCAGCUCGUGUCGUGAGAUGUUGGGUUAAGUCCCGCAACGAGCGCAACCCUUGUCCUUAGUUGCUACGCAAGAGCACUCUAAGGAGACUGCCGGUGACAAACCGGAGGAAGGUGGGGAUGACGUCAAGUCCUCAUGGCCCUUAUGGGUAGGGCUUCACACGUCAUACAAUGGUCGGAACAGAGGGUUGCCAACCCGCGAGGGGGAGCUAAUCCCAGAAAACCGAUCGUAGUCCGGAUUGCACUCUGCAACUCGAGUGCAUGAAGCUGGAAUCGC
rnacentral:rRNA from 1 species